GACACAGGGAGGUAGUGACAAGAAAUAACAAUACAGGGCUAAUGUCUUGUAAUUGGAAUGAUGGUGACCCAAACCCUCACCAGAGUAGCAAUUGGAGGGCAAGUCUGGUGCCAGCAGCCGCGGUAAUUCCAGCUCCAAUAGCGUAUAUUAAACUUGUUGCAGUUAAAAAGCUCGUAGUUGAAUUUUAGCGUGUUCGAGUUUGCCAUUCGUUUGGCUUUUUCGAGUUCGCUUUUGGGUUUUCCCUUUUUACUUUGAGAAAAUUAGAGUGUUUCAAGCAGACUUUUGUCUUGAAUACUUCAGCAUGGAAUAAUAGAGUAGGACUUUGGUUCUAUUUUGUUGGUUAUUGAACCUUAGUAAUGGUUAAUAGGAACGGUUGGGGGCAUUCGUAUUUAACUGUCAGAGGUGAAAUUCUUAG
rnacentral:rRNA from 1 species